CCCCGCUGCUGCUGCUGCUGCUGCUGUCGCCGGGUCUCAACCGUUCUAGCAGCUUCGAGCCAGGCCGGGUUUAUGCUGCUAUGCAGCGCCGCGAGGGCUGCCCGGGUCACAGGUUUAUCCCGCGUGGAGAUCGGGGUAAGCGGGUCGAGGUGAGUCUGGGCCCACUCCAGCCACGCCGUCCUAGGGAGGGUUGCCAGAUCGCUGCUCUCUGCCAGGGUCCAAACCCGCACCAGGUCCCCUACCGUCUGUAGUUUCCUGCAGGUGGCAAGCCCAGGGUAUUGGUGCUCCAGGCCGGGGCGGCGGCCCCGGUCCGUCGGGUCGGUCCCUCCAGCAUUGGGGAAUAGGGGAUUUCCCCAUAAUGCAGUCGCCCAGCACCAGUCACCGGGUGUCAGCGG
rnacentral:lncRNA from 1 species